AUACGGAGGGUGCAAGCGUUAUUCGGAAUCACUGGGCGUAAAGGACGCGUAGGCGGGUUGGCAAGUCAGAUGUGAAAUCCUACAGCUUAACUGUAGAACUGCAUUUGAAACUGCUAACCUAGAGUAUGGGAGGGGGAGAUGGAAUUAGUGGUGUAGGUGUAAAAUCCGUAGAUAUCACUAGGAAUACCGAAAGCGAAGGCGAUCUCCUGGAACAUAACUGACGCUAAGGCGUGAAAGCGUGGGGAGCAAACAGGAGUAGAAACCCUUGUAGUCC
rnacentral:rRNA from 1 species